AUGAUCGGUCUCAGCACGCACCUCGGGUAUCUGCUCCUCGCUGCCUUCCUGAGGCAACCACAGGGCACGGUGGGCCAGGUCACUGUCACCCAGCAAGACAGAGAAGUCACAGUAAAGCAGAGAGGCAUCAUCCAGACCACCUGUACAUACCAAGCCUCCAACUUCGGAGGCUUGCUCUGGUACCAGCAGAAGAAAGGCCAAGCUCCCCAGCUGCUCUCCUAUCAGGCAGCAGCUGGCUCCAAGCAGAGCGGCCGUCUCACCACGUUGCUGAACACCACGGGCAGAUACAGCCUCCUGCAGCUGGAGGAAGCCGAGCUCUCUGACAGUGCCUUGUACCUCUGUGCUGUGCAAGACACCCUG